rnacentral:tRNA from 1 species
AGGAUUGUGGCUCAGUGGUAGAGCGCUUGCCUAGCAUGUGUGAGGCAUUGGGUUCAAAUCUCAGUUCUA